UACGUAGGGGGCGAGCGUUGUCCGGAUUUAUUGGGCGUAAAGAGCUCGUAGGCGGUUUGGCAAGUCGGGUGUGAAAAACUCCGGCUCAACUCGGAGACGCCACUCGAUACUGCUAUGACUCGAGUCCGGUAGGGGAGUGCGGAAUUCCUGGUGUAGCGGUGAAAUGCGCAGAUAUCAGGAGGAACACCGGUGGCGAAGGCGGCACUCUGGGCCGGUACUGACGCUGAGGAGCGAAAGCGUGGGGAGCGAACAGG
rnacentral:rRNA from 1 species